rnacentral:tRNA from 1 species
GGCGGGCUGGCAGAAUGGUAAUGCGUAGCUCUCCUAAAGCUAAGAUUGUGGGUUCGAGUCCCACGUCCGUCG